GUGCUUGAGACCUCAACGUGAGGAAAGGGGGCGGUGACCAGGGCGCCAAUGAGCGCGCUACGGCAAGCGGCUAGCCCCAAAUGUCCCGACACGCAAACUUUCCGGAAGCUCCUUGAUCUCGAAGCUGAAAGGUUUUAGACGCGGAAGGGUGCACGCUGGGAGUAGUCUGAGCCCGUUGUAGUUAAGCUUUUCGCCGGGUUAUUUUUCAGAGGCGGCAGUGUAAGACUGCAUAACUCUGUAAUCAUAAAACUCCCCUAGCCCCACCUGUGAUUGAAUGGUCUCACUAAGUCCCCGAGUUGCCCAGGCUGAAUUUGAACCUAUGAUCCUCCUGGCUCAACCUCCCAGUGUCUGGAUUACAGGUGUGUGUCACCACACUCAGCUCAAUACAGUCCUUGGACUUUUGGGAUCAGCAGCCAAAGAGCCUGAAGCAACACUAACUUUGUUCAGGGCUCUUCAGUGCUUACACCUCAUAGGGGCACAGAUGGACCACCUUAUAGUGGUGUUCAAACUAGGGAAGUUGUGCGGUGGGGUUACACCAAGACACCCCAAAUGGUAUAUGAAAACAAUGUAUGUCAUUUAAAUAAAAUAACAUCUGUGUUUGAAAUUGUUCAAAAGUCCAAAGUCAAAAAAAGCGAGAGAAAAGUCCAUGGUCAUUCUUUAGGAAGUGCUUGGCUGUUGGGUAAAGGAGCACAUUCCAAUUUAUAAAUGUUUGUUCCCUGCUCUGAAAUUCACAGGCUGGAACAGGUCCUUGCACCAGGAUGUGGCUGUGUAGCUAUGAGAUGGAGCAGAGCUUGGGGUCUGGACAAAGAGUAGCAGAGCUCCAGAGGGUCUUGCUGUAUAGUUCAGGCUGGUCUUGAAUUCACUAUGGAUCCCAGACUGACUUCAAACUCAUGAGGAUCCUCCUGCCUCAGCCUCCUGAGUGCUGGAAUUACUGGCGUGCACCACCAUGCCCAGCUAUGCCUUUUAAAAAUCCCUUUUUAGUCGUGCUUCUUAUUUAGCUUGUUGAAGAAUUUAUCCUACUCCAUUACACUUUUAGUAUUGAGGAACUUGCUUGAUUUCAAAUGAAAACCUCAAAAAGAGAGAUGAGAGAGAAUAGGACUUAGUUUAUGAGUCUUUUCCAAUUUGCAACUCACCUGCAUUAAUCCUAAUAUUAGAUAAUAAAAGUGACAUUUGCUUCAGUAACAAUUAUAAUCAUUUACUACUCUCAAGCAACAUUUAUGCACAAGCAUAAAGAUUUCUGAGCCAACAAAAUAAAUGUUCCCAAAUUGGCUAAUCAUUAUUUAUGUACUAAACUAGGUGUGGUAGAGCAGGCCUUUAAUCCCAGCACUGGGGAGGCUGAGGCAGGAGGAUUGCCAUGAGUUCAAGGCCAGUUUGAGCCACAUAGUGAGUUCAAAGUCAGCCUGAACCACAAACCUGGAAAAACAAAAUAAGAACAACAAAACACCAAAGUUUAUGUACUUUACUCAUAACCUAGGCCUUCAAAAUUUCACUCUAAGUCUCUUUACUGUAAAUUUCUUUUAAAUGAUGAUUUGGUCAUAUGGAUUAAAAAUUAAAAUUAUUAUGGAUACACUUAAUUAUUUUUGACCACCUGAAAAGAGAUUUAAUGGACUAAAUGACAGAUCUAAAGAUGCUAUCAUAAUAUAGUAUAGAAAUAAGAAAAUGGGAAAUGGAAAAUGUUAAGAGAUGUGGAGAAUGGAAUGA